UACGUAGGGCGCAAGCGUUGUCCGGAAUUAUUGGGCGUAAAGAGCUCGUAGGCGGCUUGUCACGUCGGGUGUGAAAGCCCGGGGCUUAACCCCGGGUCUGCAUUCGAUACGGGCUAGCUAGAGUGUGGUAGGGGAGAUCGGAAUUCCUGGUGUAGCGGUGAAAUGCGUAGAGAUCCGGAAGAACACCAGUGGCGAAGGCGGCCCGCUGGGCAGUGGCUGACGCUGAAGCGCGACAGCGUGGGGAGCAAACAGG
rnacentral:rRNA from 1 species